AACGAACGCUGGCGGCAUGCCUAACACAUGCAAGUCGAACGAGAGCUUCGGGUCUGGUGGCGCACGGGUGCGUAACGCGUGGGAACCUGCCCUUAGGUUCGGAAUAACUCCCCGAAAGGGGUGCUAAUACCGGAUAAUGUACUCGGACCAAAGAUUUGUCGCGUUUGGAUGGGCCCGCGUUGGUUUAGCAAGUUGGUAGGGUAAAAGCCUACCAAGGCUUCGAUCCAUAGCUGGGUUGAGAGGAUGAGCAGCCACUCUGGGACUGAGACGCGGCCCAGACUACUACAGGAGGCGGCAGUGGCGAAUAUUGGACAAUGGGCUGAGUGCUGAUCCAGCUAUGCCUCGUGAGUGAUGUAGGCCUGAGGGAUGUAAAGCACUUUAAUCCGGGAUGAUAAUGACGGUACCGAGAGAAUAAGCACCGGCUAACUCCGUG
rnacentral:rRNA from 1 species